UACGGGGGGAGCAAGCGUUGUUCGGAUUUACUGGGCGUAAAGGGCGCGUAGGCGGUCGUGACAAGUCACUUGUGAAAUCUCCGGGCUUAACUCGGAACGGUCAAGUGAUACUGUCGGACUAGAGUACAGAAGGGGCAACUGGAAUUCUCGGUGUAGCGGUGAAAUGCGUAGAUAUCGAGAGGAACACCUGCGGCGAAGGCGGGCUACUGGGCCGAUACUGACGCUGAUGAGCGAAAGCUAGGGGAGCAAACGGG
rnacentral:rRNA from 1 species